UACAGAGGUGGCAAGCGUUGUUCGGAAUUACUGGGCGUAAAGGGCGCGUAGGCGGUUCGUUAAGUCCUGUGUGAAAUCCCCCGGCUCAACUGGGGAACUGCACAGGAAACUAGCGGGCUUGAGUUCGGGAGAGGGAAGCGGAAUUCCGGGUGUAGCGGUGAAAUGCGUAGAUAUCCGGAGGAACACCAGUGGCGAAAGCGGACUUC
rnacentral:rRNA from 1 species